ensembl:snRNA U2 U2 spliceosomal RNA
AUUGCUUCUUGGCCUUUUGGCUAAGAUCAAGUGUAGUAUCUGUUCUUAUCAGUUUAAUAUCUGAUAUAUCUCUAUCCGAGGACAGCAUAUUAAACAAAUGUUUGGAGGUGGGAGUUGGAAUAGGAGCUGCA